GACGUAGGGCGCGAGCGUUGUCCGGAUUUAUUGGGCGUAAAGAGCUCGUAGGCGGCUUGUCGCGUCGUCUGUGAAAUCCCGCGGCUCAACCGCGGGUCUGCAGUCGAUACGGGCAGGCUAGAGUUCGGUAGGGGAGACUGGAAUUCCUGGUGUAGCGGUGAAAUGCGCAGAUAUCAGGAGGAACACCGAUGGCGAAGGCAGGUCUCUGGGCCGAUACUGACGCUGAGGAGCGAAAGCGUGGGGAGCGAACAGG
rnacentral:rRNA from 1 species